UGUGAUACAAAGGGCAUGGC
rnacentral:misc_RNA from 1 species